rnacentral:rRNA from 1 species
CCUACGGGCGGCUGCAGUGGGGAAUAUUGCGCAAUGGGGGAAACCCUGACGCAGCAACGCCGCGUGAAGGAUGAAGGCUUUCGGGUUGUAAACUUCUUUGAUCGGGGACGAAAACUGACGGUACCCGAGGAACAAGCCACGGCUAACUACGUGCCAGCAGCCGCGGUAAUACGUAGGUGGCGAGCGUUGUCCGGAAUUACUGGGUGUAAAGGGCGUGUAGGCGGGAUGUCAAGUCAGAUGUGAAAUACCGAGGCUUAACUUCGGGGGUGCAUCUGAAACUGAUAUUCUUGAGUGUCGGAGAGGAAAGUGGAAUUCCCAGUGUAGCGGUGAAAUGCGUAGAGAUUGGGAGGAACACCAGUGGCGAAGGCGGCUUUCUGGACGAUAACUGACGCUGAGGCGCGAAAGCGUGGGUAGCAAACAGGAUUAGAUACCCCUGUAGUC